UAGGGAAUCUUCCGCAAUGGACGCAAGUCUGACGGAGCAACGCCGCGUGAGUGAAGAAGGAUUUCGGUUCGUAAAACUCUGUUGUUAGAGAAGAACAGCGCAUAGAGUAACUGUUAUGCGUGUGACGGUAUCUAACCAGAAAGCCACGGCUAACUACGUGCCAGCAGCCGCGGCAAUACGUAGGUGGCAAGCGUUGUCCGGAUUUAUUGGGCGUAAAGCGAGCGCAGGCGGUCAAUUAAGUCUGAUGUGAAAGCCCCCGGCUCAACCGGGGAGGGUCAUUGGAAACUGGUUGACUUGAGUGCAGAAGAGGAGAGUGGAAUUCCAUGUGUAGCGGUGAAAUGCGUAGAUAUAUGGAGGAACACCGGUGGCGAAAGCGGCUCUCUGGUCUGUAACUGACGCGGAGGCUCGAAAGCGUGGGGAGCGAACAGG
rnacentral:rRNA from 1 species